UACACCGCAGGGUGUUGAAAUACACCUAACCAGUGGAAAUAAUACCGAUGCAGGCAGGGUCGAGUAAGAAUAUCAGAAAGACCUUGAGGUGAUAAGA
rfam:Clostridiales bacterium 45_37 Ley3_66761_scaffold_3157, whole genome shotgun sequence.